GACGGGGGGUCCUAGCGUUGUUCGGAAUCAUUGGGCGUAAAGCGUGUGCAGGUGGCUCUGCAAGUUAGAUGUGAAAGCCCCGGGCUUAACCCGGGAACUGCGUUUGAAACUGGGAGACUUGAGUGUGGCAGAGGGGGGUGGAAUUCCACGUGUAGCAGUGAAAUGCGUAGAUAUGUGGAGGAACACCGAUGGCGAAGGCAGCCCCCUGGGUUAACACUGACGCUCAUGCACGAAAGCGUGGGGAGCAAACAGG
rnacentral:rRNA from 1 species